GUGGUAUCCAGAAAUACUGACUCAGUGAAGUCUUGGAACAAUAAUGAAGGUUAACUGUCCAAAGGGGUGCAAAAGAAGAUGCUUAAUGGCACAUAAGAACUGUGGAGAAACAAAGCAAGAGGAGAUACAGCCAAGAAACUCUCGGCUGUGAGGCUUAACAGAUGUAGCAGAACUGAAGCAUGGAAAGUCUGUCCACAGGAGAAACGUUCAAGCUAUCUUGAGACGUUGGAUGCCAACAGCUAUGAACCUCGCUUCUCAUCUGAUACCUGCCUUGGGAAAAGCAUGUGAAAGCAGACUAAAGUUUUUAAGGUAAGUACGUGAAAUGCCA